UACGUAGGGUGCAAGCGUUGUCCGGAAUUAUUGGGCGUAAAGAGCUCGUAGGCGGCUCAGUAAGUCGGGUGUGAAAACUCCAGGCUCAACCUGGAGACGCCACCCGAUACUGCUGUGGCUAGAGUCCGGUAGGGGAGCAUGGAAUUCCUGGUGUGAGCGGUGAAAUGCGCAGAUAUCAGGAGGAACACCAGUGGCGAAGGCGGUGCUCUGGGCCGGAACUGACGCUGAGGAGCGAAAGCGUGGGGAGCAAACAGG
rnacentral:rRNA from 1 species